GCGGGUCAGAGGCAGGUGGGGGUGGCCGAUGGGACGUGCGGCAGAAGAGACCUGAAGGCCCUAGGUACGGCGCCUAGGGUUUUUUCUUUCUUUUCUUUGCUGAAAAUAGUUUAGGUUUAGGCCAUUUUGGGCUGUUAGGGUUUUUUAGCUUGUUAGGCUGGGGUAUUUUGGGUUAAUGGGUCCUGGACAAAUUUGGGCUUGUACAGCUGC
rnacentral:lncRNA from 1 species